rnacentral:rRNA from 1 species
UGUGAAAGCCCGGGGCUCAACCUCGGAAUUGCAUUUGAAACUGGCAGACUAGAGUACUGUAGAGGGGGGUAGAAUUUCAGGUGUAGCGGUGAAAUGCGUAGAGAUCUGAAGGAAUACCGGUGGCGAAGGCGGCCCCCUGGACAGAUACUGACACUCAGAUGCGAAAGCGUGGGGAGCAAACAGGAUUAGAUACCCUGGUAGUCCACGCCGUAAACGAUGUCUACUUGGAGGUUGUGGCCUUGAGCCGUGGCUUUCGGAGCUAACGCGUUAAGUAGACCGCCUGGGGAGUACGGUCGCAAGAUUAAAACUCAAAUGAAUUGACGGGGGCCCGCACAAGCGGUGGAGCA